rnacentral:tRNA from 1 species
UCCCAGGUAGCUCAGUUGAUAGAGCGCGCUUACCAAAAGCGAGGUCGGUGGUUUAAUUCCACCCCUGGGAACCA